AUACAGAGGGUGCAAGCGUUAAUCGGAAUUACUGGGCGUAAAGCGCGCGUAGGUGGUUCAGUAAGAUGGAAGUGAAAUCCCCGGGCUUAACCUGGGAACUGCUUUCAUAACUGCUGAGCUAGAGUACGGUAGAGGGUAGUGGAAUUUCCUGUGUAGCGGUGAAAUGCGUAGAUAUAGGAAGGAACACCAGUGGCGAAGGCGACUACCUGGACUGAUACUGACACUGAGGUGCGAAAGCGGGGGGAGCAAACAGGAUUAGAUACCCUGGUAGUCCACGCCGUAAACGAUGUCAACUAGCCGUUGGGAACCUUGAGUUCUUAGUGGCGCAGCUAACGCACUAAGUUGACCGCCUGGGGAGUACGGUCGCGAGAUUAAAACUCAAAUGAAUUGGCGGGG
rnacentral:rRNA from 1 species